rnacentral:lncRNA from 1 species
AUCAAUGCAUCCUUUCACCUUGAAGAUGCUCCUCAGAGAUUCUACCACAAUGUACCGGGAGCUGGGCUUGACAACUAAUGAGCACUUUCCUGUUUAAAUUCUCACAGUACAGCAAGAGUUGAUCCCCAGAUGACUGGAGAGGUAUUUCAUGAAGAGGAUAGAGAUGGGGACUUGUUCAUCUCCAACUCAAGGGCUUUUUCUACAAAGCAUUUCUGCUAAAAGCUGAUCAAAGACCAGGUCCAGCUGGAAGUGUAAGACAAUGGAAGAAAGACCACACCAUUGGGAGCUAUGAAAAGUGAGCCUUUCCACUUCCAGAGUGUUCUCUGCAGAUAGUACACAGCAGAAAAACUUUGACUUUUUAAUGUAUCCUUGGAAAAAAA